rnacentral:rRNA from 1 species
UACCAGCACCCCGAGUGGUCGGGACGUUUUAUUGGGCCUAAAGCAUCCGUAGCCGGUUCUACAAGUCUUCCGUUAAAUCCACCUGCUCAACAGAUGGGCUGCGGAAGAUACUAUGGAGCUAGGAGGCGGGAGAGGCAAGCGGUACUCGAUGGGUAGGGGUAAAAUCCGUUGAUCCAUUGAAGACCACCAGUGGCGAAGGCGGCUUGCCAGAACGCCGCUACGACGGUGAGGGAUGAAAGCUGGGGGGAGCAAACCGG